CCUGCCACCAUGCCUGGCUAAUUUUCUGUAUUUUUAGUAGAGACAGGGUUUUGCCGUGUUAGCCAGGAGUACUUGUUUUUUAAUGCUUGUCAUUUUCAUGAACUGUAGUCUUGCACAACAGGCAGCUUGAUGUGGCUCAAGGAGUACUAAGAUUGAACAGACCUAGGCUCUAGUUCCAUUUAUUACCUUAACUAUAUAAUUCUGACUAAGUAAAACUUGGCAAUCAUAGCACCUGGACUGCCUAUCUUUUGUACCUAUGUACAAAAUUGUUAUAUCAAAAAAUAUAUGUAUGUGAAAGCAAAAUUCUUCAAUAUCUGAAAUAUUUCAAUAUUACCAUCCAUAUAAAGUUUUAGGGGAACAGAUUUUAUUUCCCUUUUUCCUUCUUCUCUAGGUUUGUCCCGAUUGGCUAAAGUUAUGAGAAACAAAACUGUAUUUUUAUCAGUCUUCUUUCAAAGUUAAUAAAUUAUGAAGACAACCCAUUUGCAAAGCAAUCAAAGAGAGCAAAAGGUUCUAGAAAACUCAGGAGUUAAAUGCUUCACUGUACCCAAUGACUAAGAAAAAAGGAACCUAGACUUUACUAAGCUCAAAGAAUUAAAAACCAACACUUAGCAGCUCUUCAGGUCAACUACAGUUCACAAUUCCCUGGAGGAAAACGCAGCCCAUAGUACAAGUCUGACAACACCUCUAGAUCUGCGGAAUCACCUAUUCUACAUAAAAGGUAAACGGCAAAAGAAGCAACUAUCUUCUUUAACACAUUGAAAGCUUUUUUUUUUUUUUUGGCUGCCAGAUUUUAUUUCCACACCAGUUAUCUUCUUCUUAACAAGUUACACCUAUAAUCUUAAAAUCGCCCAGUUAUUUUACAAACAUCUGUCCUCAAUCUUAAUCUUUAUUUGCCACUAUCCUAAUGUACUUGCUAAGUUUUACAGCAAAGCAGAAGUGAUGCAGAGAUGAAGUGUUAGUCAUAAAGACCAAUAAAGACAAAAAAUGAUGUGCUGUCUGCGGUCUUCCCCACACGGUCUGUUUACAAGUAACAUUACAAAUCUCUCAAGCUCCUCCCAGACACUAUGUUUAUAGAAGUGCUAGACUAUACACUUUUGGUCCACCCAUAUUUAAUGUCUUUGGUAAAAAUUACUUCAUUAAUUAAUAGAAAGGUUUGUACCUUGCUAUCUCUAGCUCAGUCUCAAGAAUUUUAAAUUCUAACCAAUGAUCCAAGUCACUCAGAGGUCAUUUGUGUUGCAGACCUACUGAAAAUUAGACUUACCUUUAAAUGGACUUUUUUUCCCAAAACUCAAGGAGUACUUUUUCUUCCAGCAUUAAGGUAGCUCAACAUGUUCCCCUUCUAAUAUUUAGCCAACAACAUAAGAAAACCUUGAUUCCUCUAACUUGGGCCAUAAGAAAGCAGUCUUUUCCCAAAAAGUUGUUUCAAAACUCUAACAAGAGUGUAUAGCUAUUUUCACACACUGAAAUAGCAGAUUUAUAUAUUUGUGGUUUACGAUACCACCAAUAUUCUCUAGACAAGGUUUAUUCUAUGGUUUCCAUUAAGGAAGAGAAUUCUAACUAAAUUAUUUUAGGCUCACUGCUCUCUAAUACUAUAAAGCAGUACUACAGCAUAAUGAAAAAAGCACAAAAUUGAGAAGGGCCUGACCAAUUCUUCCAGAUGGUAUUAACUGGCUGUGUGGCACUGGACAAGACACUUCAACCUCUUUGGCUCUCAAAUUUCCCUAUUAUUUGUGAAAUCAGAUUAGAAUCACUGUGAUCCAAGAUUGCUACUGGCUGAACAUUCUACACAAUGCAGAAGAUACAAGUCUUUUUUUCUAAUAAUCUAUGUUUCGUAAGCAUAAUACAAUUCAACCAUAAAAGAUACCUCAAUCAACACUACAGCCAGACUUACUUUUCCUUAGCAGUCUUUUUUUUUCUUUAAAUUGCUGACAGUUAAAAACUAUUUUGACCCAGAAUGGCAUACUACUAUAAUCUCUAUGCUUAAUUUCAACUCCUAAUAAAAUAGUGCCACACUACAAAUGGUUUCUUCACCUGUUCCCUAAUGAAGUUGAAAAUAAUUCCUUGGCCUUGAAUUUACAGAUACAUGUACAGGGCUGAUGAAAGCCAUCUGCUGGGAACUAUGACUUUCAUAUGAAAGGAAAAAACCAGAAGGAACUGCUUUCAUUUUCCUGGGAACCAGCUGCAGCUGAAUGAGUCCUAAUCCUGCUCCAGCUGGGACAAGCAGAAGGGUGAAGUUACUCCUGGUCUAAUUCAUUCGCUGCAGAUCCUUUGUGAAAUGACUCCACCCCUGAGUAGCCAAGUGAUUCAUCACAGUUCCUGUUAUGUAUUUGCUCUCCUAGUAUUAAACAUAACAAAAAAGUAUUGGCCCACAAGUCCAGGAUGAACUAAAGAAAAAACAGGCAGCAAGG
rnacentral:lncRNA from 1 species